UCCUACAUUCUGUUGUACUGUGAGCUCCGUGGCAGCAGGGAUUUUCCUGGUUUACCGCUGGCUCCCAAAUCCCAGAACAGUGAGGCCACCAUUGUUGACUGAAUAAAUGGCCUCAGUCUGUCCAAGAUCAAAAUCUAUCCUGCCACUGUCAUUCCCCAGUGGCUUGCCUGAAUCACUCUGUGAAUAAGUCCAGGCCCUGUCAGAAACCCCACCAGUAACUUGAACAGGGGAAAAUUUGGUGUCAGGAAUGAUUAACUUGCGAAAGAUGGUUAACGACCAACAGGAGUCAAAGAGGACCCUCUGGAAAACAGGAGUAGCAAAUGCACAAAACAGCUACUCCCUCUAGUGCUGAGGGAGAGGGAACAAGGAAGGAAGGAGCUAAGCACUCAGAGGAGGCCCCCAUCACCACCAAGGCUGAGCUUUGGGUCUCCUUGGAGAGCUGUGGCUGCAGAGGAACAGGGGCCACGGAAGCUCAAACAGAGAAGCAGCAGUCUCAUUUCCAGUGCAAAGGAAAACACAAGUGGAGAAGAGCAAGCCGUUAGGAGCCAGCCAGAUAGGCAGGACCCAUGUAUCCGGGGCUUUAGGCCCAUGUGCCUCAUCUGUGCUAAACAGGCCCAACACUGUUUCACACUAACUGGGGUUCAGAUUAUGGUUGUACCAAGGACUAAUAAUCUCCCCACCACCCGCUGAGACCCUUCUCUGUGACAGGACAGUGUUGGAGGCUCUAACACAAGUCACUGCAUUUAAUACUAAAACAACCCUGUAGGCAGAUGCUAUUGUUCCCAUGUACAGAUGGGAAAACUGAUACUCAGCACAACAAGCCAACUUGCCCAGAACCACCCUCCCUAUUAAGCAGCAGAGAUGGGAUUAGGCUCUGGCUGUCUGACGUAGAAGUCAGAGGUUCUUUGACAAUAGACGAGGGUAGAGUCACCUAACUGCUCUAAACUUUGCUUUCCUCAUCUGUAAAAUGGGAGUUCAUUCUGCAGCAGAUAUUUUUAUUUUUUAUUUUUUUAUUUUUUUGAGACAGAGUCUCACUGUGUUGCCCAGACUGGAGUGUAAUGGUGCAAUCUUGGCUCACUGCCACCUCUGCCUAUUGGGUUCAAGCAAUUCUCCUGCCCCAGCCUCCUGAGUAUCUGAGACUACAGGCACGCACCAUGACAGCUCAGCUAAUGUUUUGUAUUUGUAGUAGAGACGGGGUUUCCCCAUGUUGACCAGGACGGUCUCAAUCUCUUGGCUUCGUGAUCCGCCCGCCUCAGCUUCCCAAAGUGCUGGGAUUAUCGGCGUGAGCCACGGUGCCCGGCCCUGCAGCAGAUAUAUUUUGAAGCAGUCACAGAGCUAUGAGUAGGCACAGAGCUUUGGAAAUAACAAUCCCUGCUCCACAUGGUUUGUAUGUGGAUUAAAUAAAAUGAAUUGAUAACUUUCCUAUCCUGUAUCA
rnacentral:lncRNA from 13 species